CAAGGCGGCGGGGGGGGGGGGGUGUGUGCUGACGUCAUCGCCAAGGUCAGGACGACGCCACCCAGGUUCAGGCCGCCAGGGCUCGCUCAAAGGCCUUACCCACCACACACACUGCAGCUCAUUCACAGCCAGAGAAGCAGCAGCCAAAUUGUAAUUAGAGGCCGGAGGAGGAGCCACAGGGACCAUCUCAGGAUUUAUGCCUGAGCGGUGGUGAUGUGGAGAGAGCCCUCUGUCCUGACGCAGGAUGGGAUGCAAAUGUCAUAAUUCAACGCGUCUUGAGGGUCUCAAAAGGGAACAGAGAAGAGAGCCGUCUCUUUGUGGUGGUGCCCAUCUCUAAGGAGAGCUCCCUAAAAGCCAUAGCCUCCUAUUGUGUGGCUUCUUCAUACCUGCGGGGAGAAGCCAGUCUCCUCAGGACUAGGGGCAGGUUAGAUAGACAGGAGGUGCUGCCGUGUGGAUCAUGAGUGUCCCUCAAAAGUAUAGUGCCUAAAAGCUUGGUCUCAAGUCUGUGAUGCUAUUGGGAACUGGUGGGAUGCUUAGGAGAGGAGACAGGGAGGAG
rnacentral:lncRNA from 1 species